GAGCUCGAUCGGUAGAGCAUGAGGCUCUUAAUCUCAGGGCUGUGGGUUCAAGCCCCAUGUGGUGCG